rnacentral:rRNA from 1 species
UACAUUCAAUAUAACUAAUUCAAAAUAAACAUCUACUAAAAGUUUACAAAUAAAUCCUAAAAUAAUUAUUAGAAUAACAAAUAAUUAUCUUAAGUGGCUAAUUUCAUCUUAUCCAUAAGCUGCACCUUGACUUGAAAUUCACAAAAGAUUGAAAUUGAAACAAUAUUUAAAAAUCAUCCUAACAGAGAUAUACAAGCUAAAAGAAUAAGAAAAACUAAACGAGGACUAUCGAUUAAAAAACAAGCCCCUCUAAUAAGUAAUUGAACCGCCAAAAUCUUUGGGUUUUAAGAAAAUCUAAUAAUACCCCACAUAAAAAUAAAAGGGUAUCUAAUCCUCGUUUAAAAAUAAAUUCAAAUGAAAAACUAAAAAUAAAAAAUAAAAUAAAAUUUCACCUUUAUUUUAAAUUUAAAAUAAACAAAACCAUUCAUACUUUAAGCUUUAAUAAAAUAAUCGUAUA